ensembl:snRNA U4 U4 spliceosomal RNA
AAUUUUGUGCAGGGGCAGUAUCACAGCCAAUGAGGUUUAUCCGAGGCGCGAUGAUUGCUAAUGGAAAACUUUUCCCAAACAUGAAUUUGGAACAAACUGUGUUCAACAACUGAGGUAUCACCGUAAUGUAGUUAUUUAUUUUCAAAUUAGUUCAGGCUUACAAGGAAG